rnacentral:rRNA from 1 species
GAUGAACGCUGGCGGCGUGCCUAAUACAUGCAAGUCGAACGCUUUGUCUGUAAUUGAUUUGAAGUGCUUGCUCCGAUUUGCUUUUAUCUGACAAAGAGUGGCGAACGGGUUAGUAACACGUGGGUAACCUACCUCUUAGCAGGGGAUAACAUUUUGAAACAUGUGCUAAUACCCUAUAACACUACCAACCGCAUGGUUUUUAGUUGAAAGAUGGUUCUUCUAUCACUAAGAGAUGGACCCGCGGUGCAUUAGCUAGUUGGUAAGGUAAUGGCUUACCAAGGCGAUGAUGCGUAGCCGAGUUGAGAGACUGAUCGGCCACACUGGAACUGAGACACGGCCCAUACUCCUACGGGAGGCAGCAGUAGGGAAUCUUCGACAAUGGGCGCAAGCCUGAUGGAGCAACGCCGCGUGUGUGAUGAAGGGUUUCGGCUCGUAAAACACUGUUAUAAGAGAAGAACGACAUUGAGAGUAACUGUUCAGUGUGUGACGGUAUCUUAUCAGAAAGGAACGGCUAAAUACGUG